rnacentral:rRNA from 1 species
GACGAACGCUGGCGGCGUGCUUAACACAUGCAAGUCGAGCGGGGAUACAAGGGGGCUUGCUCCUGAGUAUUCUAGCGGCGGACGGGUGAGUAACGCGUGAGCAACCUUUCCUCUACUGGGGAAUAACACAGGGAAACUUGUACUAAUACCGCAUGAGACCACAGAGCUGCAUGGCUUAGGGGUCAAAGAUUUAUCGGUAGAGGGUGGGCUCGCGUCUGAUUAGGUAGUUGGUGAGGUAACGGCCCACCAAGCCGACGAUCAGUAGCCGACCUGAGAGGGUGAUCGGCCACAUUGGGACUGAGACACGGCCCAA